rnacentral:rRNA from 1 species
GACGAAGGAUGCAAGCGUUAUCCGGAUUCAUUGGGUUUAAAGGGAGCGUAGGUGGCCUUAUAAGUCAGUGGUGAAAUCUCGAGGCUUAACCUCGAAAUUGCCAUUGAUACUGUAGGGCUUGAGUAUAGUUGCCGUUGGCGGAAUAUGACAUGUAGUGGUGAAAUACAUAGAGAUGUCAUAGAACACCGAUUGCGAAGGCAGCUAACGAAACUAUAACUGACACUGAGGCUCGAAAGUGCGGGAUCAAACAGG